GGGGUUGUGGCUCAGCGGUAGAGUGCUCGCCUGGCAGACAUGCAUGCGGCCUGAGUUCGAUCCUCAGCACCACA
rnacentral:tRNA from 1 species